AGCAGAGGCAUUAACUCUUAAUUAACCAGAAAAAUCACCGCAUAUUAGCAAUAAACCGAAAUAUAACAAAGUUAGCACCGUCCAACCAGUUUAUUAUGAAGGUCUGCUACAGUCCUUGGCUCCAGGCAGUUUGCAGUAGCUCCUAAUAAUACUGACGUUUUAAUUUGGGACCUUUAUGCUUCGUACCAAAUCAAUAAACCCCCAACUGGACUGAAAUCUGGAGGCCAACACCUCAAAUUGGUUGUUGUCUUCCAUGAGAGAGCUCUUUUUUCUUUCUGCUAGGAAAACCAGAUCCAUCAGAGCAGCCAUUUUUCAUAUAUGACACUUCUGCGUCCUCAGUAGAACCUGGUAGUGACACCAUCCAUCAUUCUCCCAUCUCAGGUUCUCUUGAUUUUAUUUCUUGGACCAGUAUCAGACCCUCCAAAGCAAUACCAACCGACUGUCACUGUUUGGUUCUGGCUAAACCACAAGUUGACCUUAUUUUAUUUUAUUUUUUUAAAUGUUUUUCCUUCCGCUUCCAUCACAGGAAGCCCACCUGAAAUCCCUCUGCACUGAAAGCUUCAUUCAGGAUGCCCAACAGUUUUCUUUAUUUCUGCUCAUUCCCCCUCACGCACUCUGGGCCUGCUCAGAGGAAUGCUGGGUCACAUGAGUGGGCCAGCCUGACCUACUUUCAUCCAAUCAGAGGCCGCCGCCUCCUGCUCUCCUCCCCAUCUCCCCCAUGCAGCCCAGUCACAUUGAAUCUCAUGUGCUCCGGAGUAGGAGCAAAACAAAUCCAGCAGCAGGGAGGAGGAGAGAGGAGCCGAGCAAGCAACAGAGAGUGGGAAGGAUUUAGAAGGAAGGGGAAGCAAAAAUGAACAGAAAACUACAAAUAUAGAAAAAGACAAAAUACAAAAGUACUCGAUAGAGGACGAUAAUUUGAAAAAGCGAAGGCAAAGAAGAUAAAUAAAUACAAAGGGAAAUGAUGGGGAAGGAAAAUGAAUGAAGGGAAAAUGUGAGAAACCAUGAGAAAGGAAAAAGUCAACAAAAAUAAAGUGAAAAUGUAAAAGAAUAAAGAUGAGAAGAGGAGAGCACAUCGGAGAUUUGCCCAUCAUAAUGCUGGAGCUCUUUUAUUUAAGUGAUACAUUUGGCUCUAUUCCUCUUUCUCUCCUUCCUUCGUUCCUCUGAUUGUUUCUUGCCCCUCUUUGCUUUUUUUUUUCCUGCAACCCGGUUCAAACCAGUCGACAAUCCCAGCUACUGUGACCUCAUCACGCCCUCUGCAGAGUCCAGUGAUUGUUUUCUAACUUCUGUUACCUCCAGUUGUGAGAAGAAAAAAAAAAAAUCGUUCACAUUGCCAGAUCGGACACUUUCUGGCAUUUCUCUGUUUAUCAGACUUCAGCUCAGUUAAAUGACUCAAAACGCCAGGCAACGCUUCCGAAAAGUUGGCUCGACUAAAUAAAAGUCAGGUUGUAAACAACAGGCGAGGUGAUCCAGCAUUUUCAUUGCCUUUCUGUGCUACUUGCUUUUCUUGUUCAGUGGGCAUUGCAUCCAUCUUGUGACUCUCUCCUUAAUUGUUGUUAUCAUAGAUUGGAGAGUCAUUGUACGAUAAUAAUAUUUAAUCCUUUUUUCCUUUUUCGUCUCUGGGUUCCAGUCAAAACAAUUUUUUUUUGUGGUACUUAUAGGAGCCAAAUAAGAGCCAAAAGUGUUGUGGUGUUUGUUUGUGUUUUGUUUUUUUAAAACUAUGUAAAUCAUGUUGCUUCUGCGUGAACUCGAUCCGGCAGACGAAGAGGCUCCCUGAAACACAAAGCACCCUAAAAACGGUGCGUGUGAUUCUGCGUGCAGCGAAGAGUCCGACAAAGCCGUCAUUAAACACUCCUUAGCAACAGCAGCAACCGAGCGCCUGCAGUGUUGUGGCAACCGUUUUGUCGAGAGGAAAGUAGGGCAGCGGCGACUGGACCUGUUGCAGCUCUGACUCAUUGCUUUAACGCGCCUCACUGCCACCUGAAGAGGCUUUUCUGUCACUGCACAGAAACCUUUUCAGCUGCCGGCAUGUUACAGCAGCUCGUAUUUCCCGUCAGCUAAUCCAGACAGAUGGAGUUUGUUGCGUGACAAAGGCGUCUGCAUGAAGAAGGCCGAACACCGAGACAAGAUUUUAUUUAAAAACAAGACAUAAUGUAAGCACGUAUGCGCCUUUCUCUUCCUUUAGUUGCACUCAGCUGUCACAAGGAUUGCAAAUUACAGUAAUCGUGUGACUUUUGUUUGACAUAAUCGACAACAGAAUUAAAUUACUCCCUGGACAAGGAGGCAAAUUAAUCCCUGGGCAAAGCAAUGGGGCUUAUUUUGUAUCGAAAUGAAUCACAGAUUGGUUGGCCAUGAAAUAAUCAUCUUCAAAAGCGUAGAGAAAACAGAAGCCUUUUACAUUUUAAACAUCUUAAGUCUUCUUUAGAAACAACUGGAAAACUACUGUUUUCUAUAUUUUUUUCCCUCAAGCAAAGUCAGUUUAGUCUGUACAGAUUUGCUCCAUGUUCUGCCAUCUUUGCAGCAUGUAAAAAUGUUGGUUAAAGUCCUAUAAUUUUUCUGAUCGGUUGUCGUUACAUCGUCGUUUAGUAAUAUUACUCAAAUCUGGCUUCCCAGCAGCUCCGAUUAACACAGGAGCGCCCCAGGACGGUGUGCACGGACCACUGCUCUUUGCACAUUUACACAAUCCCACUUGAUCUUUUGUGAACAAUGGUACGUUAGUGAAACUGAAAUCCUGGCUGCGGAUCCACAGACGCUUCUCUUGUUCCUGUUCAGAUUGAAAUAAUUACUACCUAUUGUUUGAGUUUUGAAUGGAAUCUGUGAGUAAAUCUUGCCUCAUUGGAGAAACAUCUCCAGACCCAGCCCACGAGUGUUUUGAUUUGCCCUCUUUCUCAACUACCGUCGGCUCUACCAACUAACAUUCACGCAAACCCUUGGGUGUGCACCCAAAACUCACCAAGCUCUAACCACUCCCUUCUGUUCUCCGUGUUUACAUCUACAAUGUUCAACCCUUUGUAGAAUGCAUCUUACAAUAACAGUUAUUCACAGAGGCAUUCAGUACAAAUGAGUGUUUCUUCCCCUACUCCCAUCACUGACCCAUUUAGCGUUUUGGUUGUUUCAUAUGCCAUCAUUCCGGAUUUUGUGAUACCUCUGGAGAGGCUCUACAAAAAUGUUUGCCGCUUAUAGUCUCCAAAGGCGUUUGCCUUUUUAUUUGUCCAAUUUCUCUGUUUUUUUUUCCAUUGCCUUCCGUCUUUGUUUCUAUGUUUUUUUCCAUAGUAACGGGGUGCUGGCGAAGUUUGUCUCAGCUGGUCAGCGAGACAGAUUAACAAUCUGAAAUAUCCUAAAAGAUUAUAAUGCUCACAAUUUAUCCAGUUUCUUUAAGAGGAAAAUUUUCAAAAUGGAAAAAAAAGGGGAUUUAUUGAUUCCUAGUGAUGAACGUUUGAAGUGAAUAUCUAGCAAAAGAGCUCAGUUACACAGUUUUAUGGGUCAGUGUCAUUUAGACAUAAUGACAAACAACAUAAUCACGUAAUCGACGUAUGUUUUACCACAAAACAGUCGAAGUACCGAGUUACGCAACCAAAGCUGGCCUAAAUAAGCCCAGUCAGAGCGCGUGGACCUUGCGUUGCCUCUUAAUACUCGGACUUAUUCUUAAAUCUGGGCUGUAAUCAGACCUGUUUGCAUAAAAAGGAUGUGAACUUUCUCCCAGUAUCCAUCAGGCCAGUUAUGGAUCACUUUGCGCGGGAGCUUUUAAUCCAAGCUGCUCAUGGAGCCGAUGACCCUCAGAUUCUCCAAAUGGAAUCGAGGAAAAGAGGCUUUGAAUGUUGUGUAACCUCACGGCGAAGUUGGUUUUGGAGACUGUUUACACACUGCUAAAAAGAGCAGUAGCGGACGUGUGCGUGUUCACAGGUGUCAAGCAUAGGUCUCUCUACACAAAAAUCAUAGAUUACUAAGGAGUAGAUAAAAGUAGCCAAGGUCAUGACAAUUUUUUAAAGUCAGUUUAAUUAAAAAAAUGAUAAUUUUAUUGAUCUCGAUGAGCAAUUAAACCUCGUUAAUUAAUUCAAGAUUCUUCAAAGAGUUAUUGUAGAUGGUGACGGCUGUGGGGUUUAAGGAAGUCCUGUAGCAGUCUGUGUUAAGGCGAGUUCGAAGAAGCCUCUGACUGAAGACGUUUUUCUAUGACAGUCUCUUGAAGAAGACGCUCAGGGUUGUCCAUCGUUUUCAGGAUUUCGCACCAUCAUCUAGUCCACAAAACUGAAUACGCUCAAAAUAAAGAUUUCAUUCAAUCAUGAAUUCAUCGAAACACUUUCGCUUCCGCUCAUCUCCCCUCUUCCUCAACAGUCAGUGAUCUGUAUCUUAAAAUAAGGAAGGAGUCCAGUGAGGGCUGUGUGGAUGUGUGGGGGUGUGUGUGUGUGUGAUUUCUGUUAUCUGCGCCUCUGAUAGCGUCACAUAUUUAUAGCCACACUUGUGAACACGAAGGAAAAUCAAUAUUUGGAGCCGCUGGCAGGAAGACUAUUGGCUCAGCUCCACCUCCAGCCCACACACACACACACACCGGUGCUCUCGCACAGAAACAAAUACAACCUCUUCGCCCAAAGCUAAACGCCAAAAUAAUCGGAUUAUGUGACAUUUAUUUUGUUGCUUCCAGAUCCGACGUCAGCAACACAAAACAGCAAACGCAUCUCAUGAAAUGGAAACAUCUUUUUUUUUUUUAUUGAUCCAUCUUCAUGACAUAAUACUUGCUGUAGUUUCAUUAUAACCACAGAGCCUUCCAGUCCCACUGCUGAAUAGAAGGAUCCCAGAAUCCUGACAGGGUUCCAUUAUCGCUUUCUAUAAGGCUUCACAAGGUUUCUAAAGCAAAGCUUUGGUUUCAGGUUUUUACAAAAUGUUACGAAUCAAGAAGACGCUGCAGUAGUGAAGCAGGGAAACAGUGUUGGUUUUUUAACGUGGGGACUAAUUAGAGCCAACAAAUGUAAACUAAAAUCAAGAGUAGAGGGGAGAAAGAAAGCUAAAAGCAGCACAGAUUAAAUCCUUCUGAAGUGUCCUUAAAAACUACCCCCUCCUACCCCCCACACACACACACACUUUGGCAGUAAUUACUUUGAAUAAAAGCAGAGCUCAAACUCACCCAUGUCCUCGACAAAAACAGUUCGCUCGAGCGUGGAAGCACGAUAAAGUCUGAAG